UUCAAUCACUGAAAUUCUUCACAUAGAACUGCCAUUCACAUUACAGUGUUUCACACAAAUACAGACUCAUUCUCUCUACUGAACUACAAUCAGAUUUCAGCAUUCAAUCUUUCUUCUUCUCAAAUAAUACCAAUCACAUUUCUAUUCCAUAAUUCACUUCACAAUAUUUAGAAACUCUCAAUCCUCUUAUUCAAAGAAAAUAACAACCAAAAGAAAAGAGGUAGCACCAAGCUUACCCCG
rnacentral:lncRNA from 1 species